rnacentral:tRNA from 1 species
GGUCCCUUAGUUUAAUGGUAGAACUCCAGAUUUACAUUCUGGCUGCGGUGGUUCAAUUCCAUCAGGGACUACCA